UUUAUGUUUUUUUUGAAUAUAUGUUUAACAUUUUAAAAUAAAUGAUUUUUUUUUUUUUUUUUUUUUUUUUUUUUAAAUAACAUACUUUUAACGAAAAAAAAAAAAAUAAAAUGAAUAAAAAAUCGAAGAAACAUACAAGUGUAUGGAUACAAAACAAAAUUGUAACAUACGGACACUUGUAUAUAUAAAAAAAUGCAGUAUACGGAUGCUUAAGCACAUAAAAAGUCUAACAUACAGACAUAAAUGAGGGGGGAGGGGGGAAAAAAUUACUCUUUUUUUUUUCAGCUUAAUUAUGUUCCAUUUCCUUUUUGAAAAAUGUAACUUCUUUUUAUUAAUUAUAUUUACUAAAAUUAAUUAUUUGAUAUUUGGUAUAUGAUUUUUUUUAUUUUUUAUUUUUAUGUUUUGUUCAAUAGUAAACGUAUAUGUAUAAGUACACGUAUACGUAUACGGAUAUAUUAACAUUCGAUGGCUUGUUUCAUUUUGUUACUUAAUUUUAUUUAAAUUUUUUUUUUUUUAUUUAUUUAUUUAUUUUUUUAUUUAUUUUUUUUUUUUGUUAAACGCUAUUAAAGCUAAAAAUGUACACACUUGUUUUCCCUUUUCUAAUAACAAUAUUGACACAUUAUUCAACUACCUAUUCAAUUUGAUUAAGUUCUUUUCUUUACACAUGUAUAUGUAUUUGUGUGUAUGUAUAUAUAUAUAUAUAUAUAUUUUUUUUUACGCUCUUAGAGCUAUUCUAAUGUAAAUAAAGUUGGCAUACAUCCAAAAAAAAAAAAAAAAAAAAAAAAAAAUGGACAGCAAUUCUAUUGUACAAAAAAGCAUAUUAAAAACUACAAAUGAUAAACAAGAUGGUAAAUCAUCAAGUAGUUAUACAAAAAACUUUUAUAAAAGUUUAAAUAACUACGUACGAGAAUUUGAUAGUAUUGAAAAAAAAGAAAAUAAGAAUGAUGAAUUAAUUAAUGAAGUGUACGACAAACAGAACACACCAACAGUUCAACUAUUUAAUACAAGUUCUAAAGGUGGAAAUCGUUCAAGAUUGUUCGACAACCAGUGGAAAAAGUACAAUUAUAAUUAUAAAAAUGGAAACGAAAGAAUAAACUAUGAUUAUAUAAAUGCCACCAAUGAAUACUAUAAACCAACAAACGUUGAAGAGAAAGUAACAAACACAGGAAUAACUAAUAAAACCUUUUUUUCAGAUAAUAAUGUGUUGCAAUAUGAAGAUAGCAUGAAAAAAUGGUCCGAUAAAAGUAGAUACCUAUACUUCGUUGAAAAACAAAAAGAGGAGCGCGGUAGCAAGAAAGUUAGUAAAUUUAAAAAUAUAAAUUUGAAUAAUGCCCUUAUAAAAGAUAAAUACUUACAAGCCUCUUAUAAACAUGACCCUACUAGUGAACAAACAAAAAUUGAAAAUUUAGUUUUAGAUGUCUUAAAUAACAAUUUUGAUGAUGAUAUAGAAUCUAUCAAAGGUGAAAGAACCCUAACCGAAGAUCGCCUAGAGACAUCUGGUGUUGUAAUAAUAAAAAAAUAAAUAAAAAUGAUUAAAAAAAAAAAGAAAUAAAUAAAAAAGU
rnacentral:lncRNA from 1 species